CUUGUAGGCGGUUUGUCGCGUCUGCUGUGAAAAUCCGGGGCUCAACCCCGGACUUGCAGUGGGUACGGGCAGACUAGAGUGUGGUAGGGGAGACUGGAAUUCCUGGUGUAGCGGUGAAAUGCGCAGAUAUCAGGAGGAACACCGAUGGCGAAGGCAGGUCUCUGGGCCACUACUGACGCUGAGAAGCGAAAGCAUGGGGAGCGAACAGGAUUAGAUACCCUGGUAGUCCAUGCCGUAAACGUUGGGAACUAGGUGUGGGUCUCAUUCCACGAGAUCCGUGCCGCAGCUAACGCAUUAAGUUCCCCGCCUGGGGAGUACGGCCGCAAGGCUAAA
rnacentral:rRNA from 1 species